GAUGAACGCUAGCGGCAGGCCUAACACAUGCAAGUCGAGGGGUAGAGGAAGCUUGCUUCCUUGAGACCGGCGCACGGGUGCGUAACGCGUAUGCAAUCUACCUUUUACAGAGGGAUAGCCCAGAGAAAUUUGGAUUAAUACCUCAUAGUAUAUAUCAUUCGCAUGUUUGGUAUAUUAAAGUUCUAACGGUAAAAGAUGAGCAUGCGUCCCAUUAGUUAGUUGGUAAGGUAACGGCUUACCAAGACGAUGAUGGGUAGGGGUCCUGAGAGGGAGAUCCCCCACACUGGUACUGAGACACGGACCAGACUCCUACGGGAGGCAGCAGUGAGGAAUAUUGGUCAAUGGACGCAAGUCUGAACCAGCCAUGCCGCGUGCAGGAAGACGGUCCUAUGGAUUGUAAACUGCUUUUGUACGGGAAGAAACACUCCUACGUGUAGGAGCCUGACGGUACCGUAAGAAUAAGGAUCGGCUAACUCCGUGCCAGCAGCCGCGGUAACAC
rnacentral:rRNA from 1 species